AACAAGGCGUACCUGCGGACCUGCGGAAGGAUCAUCAUCGAAUUCAUAUCCCCCUCCUCUCCCGAGGGGGACCCAUGAUAAACCCUCUGUGCACAGUAAACCGUUCACUUUGGCAGGCUUUGGUGGUGAGCGGCUCGUCUCCAACCUCGCGUUCCCUCCUCCCUAAGGGUGUUACGCGUGGCGGCCUGCCGAAGUCCUCCCAUUAAAAACACGUUUUCGAACACGUCUGAAAUUUCCUUU
rnacentral:misc_RNA from 1 species